GAUGAACGCUAGCUACAGGCUUAACACAUGCAAGUCGAGGGGCAGCAUGCAGGUAGCUUGCUAUCUGUGAUGGCGACCGGCGCACGGGUGAGUAACGCGUAUCCAACCUUCCCCCUACCAGAGGAUAGCCCGGCGAAAGUCGGAUUAAUACUCUAUGUUUUCCUUGUUGGGCAUCUUAUGAGGAACAAAGACUCGUCGGUAUGGGAUGGGGAUGCGUCUGAUUAGCUUGUUGGCGGGGUAACGGCCCACCAAGGCUACGAUCAGUAGGGGUUCUGAGAGGAAGGUCCCCCACAUUGGAACUGAGACACGGUCCAAACUCC
rnacentral:rRNA from 1 species